UCAUCUGUGUUUGAAAGUGGAAAGACACCGCCUCGAUUCUUCCACGUGGCUUUGUCUUGAAAGUGCACUGUCGUUUACAUUUGGCGGCAAGCAUCAGGCUAGAAGUGGAGCCCGACUUCUCAAAUCAAUUAAAUCGGCGGUUCAUUCCUCUGAUUCGGAGCUCCGACUUGCUGCCCAUACCCUCAUGAAACGUGACAACUCUCAGGUUUUUAGUUUCCCUUUACUUUGCUUGCUUCAUCUGAUUAACGACCAUCAUCAGAGACAACUUCAACAUCGCAGGUAAACCCUAUUCACUAUAUUGUUGCAUCCCAGAACUCCAUCUGGAAAUUCUUUUUUUAUGGCCGUUAAUAACGUCUUGCUGGAUAAUUUAUUUUCCCUAAUUACGUAUACAAUCAAGCUUCCAUUUUUAACUGGUUGUUUUGUUGUAAUUCUAGCCACAAUCAAUUUGUAGCAAUUUAUUACCUGUAUCCCUGUUAUAGUUUGAAUGCCAUGGUUUCUCUUACUGCUUGUCUUUUUACUUUAAUUCAUUCAUUAUUAUUACUUUGACAUUUUCAUUGCUAUAGUUAGUUGCACAAAUCAAUCCACGUGUCCUAUAAACCACUAAACAAAUUCAACUGUAACUUUUGAGGGUAAAAAGUUUAGCGCCCAUCAAGGCUAAGGAUAAUUGUGGUAGUGUUUUGUUACUUUCAGUUCAUCUCUAAUCAUUCUAAGAUUGUGAAAUCAGGUAAAAAUUUGGAAAAAUAUGACGACGCCAAUAACGAUGAGUUGUUGAACAACAUUCUCAUUCAGGAAGCCGAUCCGUUUACCGGGGAAACUCAAACAAGGAAUAAGCAUUAAAUAAAUAAUCGCUUUUGUCCUGAAUUGAAUAUGUUUUUGAUUAGUUCCCACAUGGUAUGAUUUCCCUGUAUUGUUUAUCCAAAAUUUUGACUUCUAUACAAUUAAGAAAGAAUCCUUGGAGCAAUUCUUAGAUAGAAAGCACUAGCUCAUGGUUCAACUCCAUAAAAACCUAUUAAAAAAAAAAAACCGAAGAUAAUGAAGCACACAUAGUGGUUAUUAUGGCCCAUUAUAUAUCUGAGUUUGGUUAUUGACAAGUUGUUCUGUGUCUUUGACAACAAAUUAGUUCCAAUUGGCAACAAGAUUAAGAAAUUGUAGAUCAUGCUUACACGAGACUAACUACGAAAGUGCUAAAGUGUAAGAUGAUUACUGAUUCCCCCGACUUGCCCUAUUAGUCGCAGUUAUUUGUUCUUAUAGUAGGAACUCCUUACAGUGCCUCACCGUUGUUUUCCAUAUUCGCACUCUUCAGUAUUUAACCGAGGCAUCUCAUGGCGAGCCCCAGAAAAAAUUCUUUUUCUGAUUGGUCAAAUUUAUUCAGGACAUUUAUUGGUCGGUAUGUAAUUUUAACAGGUUGCUGACCUCAAUCGCAAUUGCAGGUGAGCAAAGAGGCAGAGAAAUGCUUUAGCUAUAUGUUCAUCUGAAGUUCUCUAAAAUUUGAAACCGUAGAUCUUGUCAUUUUUUCAUACACAUCUGAUUUCAAUUUAUCAUUUUCAGAUUAACCGAGUGCAUUAUGCUGGGUGCUAACUAAUUCAAUGUAAAUUAUCUAUUGUCUGUGGUCUUUUGUUAUUGAAAAAAUGACUACCGUAUAUUAAUUACUGUUUCAGGUUAAUGAGAGGAAAAAAUAACUGAACUCGCUGACGAUACAAAUUGUACCCUUGGGAUACUUCAAAAUUCAUUUUAAAGACUUAACAACAAAUAGUAUAGUCAAUCAGGCUUUAAGUAAUCUAUAGAUUCCCAGCUUCUUGUUGAGUCGAUGCUGAAGUUCAUCUAUCGGAUCUUGAUAGUAACCUCUAAACAACAUAAGUUUUAAACUAAGACUGAUUUCUUUUUUCCCUUGCAUUUAAUCCUCAUAUUGGUCCACUUCGUUCUCCUAUCAGCAGUUCAGAGUUCAGUAAGUAUUGUUAAUCUAUUGGCUUGCGUUUUUCUCUUAGCUACUUUGUAACGAGAGAGUUAGACAUCCCAAGUUGAUCCUCAUCUGUUGGAUGUUAAUUACUUUAUUCUUUUGAGGUCUUCUUAGUCACAUUUGGAGGCACUUACAAUAUAAGGUAAGUAUUAUGUUCUGUCUAAUUUUCUUGUUUAGGUAUAAACAUUUAUGCUUAUUUGAAUUGUUUUUGUUUGUGGUAUAUGCUAAUAAGAUUCUACUUACAUUUUGUUUAUGCAUAUCAAAUAAUGUUUUUUCGUAAAUUGAUUUUAGUAGAAUUCAUCAGUUCACUCCUUAAUUGAAGCCAGAUUUCUACAGCUCGGACAAAAGGACAUUCAUCUUUAAAUUGUGUUUAUUCUCUUUAUUGGAAGAAGGUAUGUUUCCUUAAAAGCUAUUCGUGUACCACCGGUAUGCAAUUUUUUUAUGUGGAUUUUGCUGUAUACACUUUAUUCUUGACCAAAAUGGUCAUCUUAAGGCUGCUCAAGUGCUCAUUUGUUGAUGGUGCAUUUAAAUAUCAUUCACUCUACGAGUUACGUCAAAUAGUUGUAUUCCAGCAUUGGUUGCUUUCCAAAAUCUAGAUGAGUUCUUAUCCAGAUGACAUUCUCCUUAUGUACUCUCUUAUCAUUGUUAUUGACUCAACCUAGAGCAUGUUGUCCGAUAAGGAAACAGAUGAGCUGUGAGAUGAGGGACUUUUACCUGCAGCUGAACCAUUUGCAAAACUAUGUAACAGAGUUUUCUGGUGUUGUUUUGUGCAUUUGAUCACUUCAGAACAAGAUUGGAGGAGGACUUGGGCAAGUUUACAAGCUUCAAUGUGGAGAAACCAGAACUUGCUGUUACACUGUGUGUUAGUAGAGCACGUAAAAGAGCUGCCAACGUUGGAAAUGACUAUCACCGCAACUUACUCUCUAGCAUUUGCUAGAAAGUCCUUCAACUGCUGGGCAGAAUUAUCAAAGCAUUCACAAUAAGCUGGUUCUUGCUUAUGAAGAAUGAUAAAUACAAUAUAAGAGUAUAAGAUAGUUCUGGAAACGAUUGACAUUUGUUUUAUUUUAUUACAAACAAAGCUGUUAAGUACAUUUUCUUCUGCUAAAUUUUAUGCUCUUUAGGCCGACGUCUAUCUGCGGAAAUGAAAUAUGUUGUAAACCAAAGUGUUGGGCCCGAGCAAGCAUCUAGUAAUGACACAUGAUGAAUUGUGACUUGAUGGAGCUCACGUGGUCAGAGACCUAAACUUCUGCUUGGUUUGUAGAAUAUAAAGGGGAGUGCGUGGUUUGUUAUUAUAUUUA